rnacentral:pre_miRNA from 1 species
GGUACCCGAGGAGAGGCCGCCCGUGGCACGUUCGCAUCCUUCAUGACACACAAUACACAGUCGACCUCUCUUCAGAGCC